UUUGUUGAAGCCAGAAUUUCUCGUAAGAGACCGGUGGAGAACUCUGUAUAAACCUCCAGUAGAGAAAAGAACAGCCGAUCUUCAAUGGAGAAUAAUUCAUGGUGCAAUAGCCACAGACAAACAUGUGGCACACCUGAACCCAGCAGUAGGGGUGGGAUGCAGGUUUUGUGGAGAAGAAGAAAAUUUAGAACAUUUGUUUUUAAAAUGUAAAAGACUGGAAGAAGGAAGAUGUGUCUGUUAAAUUAUUUAACAGGAACUGCGAAAUUGGCAA